AAUAUUGGUCAAUGGAGGCAACUCUGAACCAGCCACGUCGCGUGAAGGAUGACGGCCCUACGGGUUGUAAACUUCUUUUAUACAGGAAUAAAGUGAGUCACGUGCGACUUUUUGCAUGUACUGUAUGAAUAAGGGUCGGCUAACUCCGUGCCAGCAGCCGCGGUAAUACGGAGGAUCCAAGCGUUAUCCGGAUUUAUUGGGUUUAAAGGGUGCGUAGGCGGGACUGUAAGUCAGGGGUGAAAUACUGCAGCUUAACUGUAGCAUUGCCUUCGAAACUGCCGUUCUUGAGUACAGUUGAGGUAGGCGGAAUGUGGUGUGUAGCGGUGAAAUGCAUAGAUAUACCACAGAACGCCGAUUGCGAAGGCAGCUUACUAAGCUGUUACUGACGCUGAGGCACGAAAGCGUGGGGAUCAAACAGG
rnacentral:rRNA from 1 species